GACGAACGCUGGCGGCGUGCCUAAUACAUGCAAGUCGAGCGAGACUCUUCGGAGUCUAGCGGCGGACGGGUGAGUAACACGUGGGCAACCUGCCUGUAAGACUGGGAUAACACCGGGAAACCGGUGCUAAUACCGGAUAAUCCUUUUCCUCUCAUGAGGAAAAGCUGAAAGUCGGUUUCGGCUGACACUUACAGAUGGGCCCGCGGCGCAUUAGCUAGUUGGUGAGGUAACGGCUCACCAAGGCGACGAUGCGUAGCCGACUUGAGAGGGUGAUCGGCCAACCUGGGACUGAGACACGGCCCAGACUCCUACGGGAGGCAGCAGUAGGGAAUCUUCCACAAUGGGCGAAAGUCUGAUGGAGCAACGCCGCGUGAGCGAUGAAGGCCUUCGGGUCGUAAAGCUCUGUUGUUAGGGAAGAACAAGUACCGGAGUAACUGCCGGUACCUUGACGGUACCUAACCAGAAAGCCACGGCUAACUACGUGCCAGCAGCCGCCGUAAUAC
rnacentral:rRNA from 1 species